UUUACUGAACUCUUUCGAGUUAUCCAAAGAUUGACCAUAGUUGUAGGACAAAACCAAGCCAACCUUUGUUAGUACCUUACCUCAGAAUACCGAAUAGCUGAAAGGUCUAUCUCUCACAACAUAGCAGAGUUUAGAAAGCUUAGCCCACCACACUUUGAAGGUGGCCUGACCCCUUAGUAGCCAAAACCUGGAUCCUGCAGAUAGAGAAACUUUUCUUUGUCAUAAACCUAACCGAGGAACAUAAAGUCCGCCUUUGUGCUGACUGGUGAAGCAAAAAACUGGUAGCAACUUAAGAAGGAAGUCUUGAUUACCCUUAUCACCUGGAAAGUUUUUACGGACGCAUUAUUUGAUAACUUUUUCCUCGCUUAUGUCUGAGAGAAUAAAGAAGAAUUUUAGGACCUCCGCCAGAGAAAUAUGACGGUUGCCCAAUAUGCAGUUUGAUUUGUCCAACUGUCUAGGUUUGCUCCUUUAAUGGUCACAUUUGAAAGUCAUAAGCUAGAAAGUUUCUGAAAGGCCUUCGUGUCGAUACUUAUAGUUGGAUUGCGAUUUAAGACCCAACUCAUAUACCGAGGUGCUAGAACAUACCUAGUUGACCGAAAACUUUAUCUC
rnacentral:lncRNA from 1 species